GAGACGAAACGAGAUAUUUAACGACUAACGGGUUAAUAUCCUAAAUAUCUAAACCUACCCUACCCCAAACCACCCCCCAACCAACCAAACCCACCCACUCACAUUUAUUACACGGCUAUAUCAGCCAACUCACACAACAACAAACACAUUCACACACACAACACCUAAAACACACACACACUUCACGCCAUUUUCAUUUUAGCUUGAGCUCAAGCUUUUGACUUCCGAUUUGAGCACCGAGACGAGCGCCGAUCAUCUUUUCGAUCACGUAUCUAAGUAGGUCCUGUUGGGAAGUAACGACUUGAGGGAGAGAGUGACGUUACUCAUUGAUACAGAGACACAACGAGGUUGAGCUGAUGUGAUGAUGGUGCUGCAAUGAGCGGAGUCUCCAGGGUUGUUAAUAAAUAGUUAACCUGUCUAGAAUAUGUCUUCAUACAUAUGUCUAGCUACUUUCCGCUGCAAGAUGUUGUUGAUGUUAUAGUAUGUUAUGUCAUACUUUGAGUCUUAAGAGAAUGGUUUCAUAUGAUGUAUAACUUGAUUAAUGAUAUUAAUUAAGUUUUAUGCUGUCUUUCAUAGACUGUUUUCAAUUGAGUAUUAAUGAAUAAAAAUGACGAGUUUUAUU